rnacentral:lncRNA from 1 species
ACCAAACUCCCAGUCGAGAUCUUCUCAGCUCCCCCCUCGCGCCUGUGCCCAUCUUCUCCGUGAUUCCCUGCAUCCAAUAGAUUCAUCUUCAUCCUUCAUCCGCAUGAAGCCAGCUUCAUCUUAUCCGAACUCCCCUGUAUUCAUAGCAUCCUGCAUCUUCAGCCGUGGGCAUCAAUCAUCAUCCCCGUCCUCGCUAUCCCCUGUUCCCAGCUCAUUUUAUCUUCAUCCAAAUCAUCCCAGCGUCCAAGCCAAUC